rnacentral:misc_RNA from 1 species
UUUCCGUAGGUGAACCUGCGGAAGGAUCAUUAUUGAAUACGUUUGGUUCUGAUGCUGGCUCUUCACUGAGCAUGUGCUCGAUCCAUAACUAUUUAUCUUCUCUUGUGCACCUUUUGUAGUCUUUCAGAGCAAGUGAUAACUCUCGCAGCAAUGCGGUUUGGGGGACUUGGGCGUGAGCCCUUCCCCUGCGUUUGCUUCUUUGGAGGGCUAUGUUUUCAUAUACACUAUAACGUUACAGAAUGUCUUUUAAAGAUUGUGCUAGUCGCAGUCAUUAAACCUAUACAACUUUCAGCAACGGAUCUCUUGGCUCUC